UCAUUUGGAGUAAUGCCGCCGUGACUUUAGAUCGACUAACAGAUUUGGGACAAGAUGUGACUAUAAACUGUGAUCUGGAUACGAAUGAGGUUUAUUGGGUUUUACUGAAACAAUCAGAUUCCAUUACAAUAAUACUGCAGUCGCUCUCAGUCACAAAUGUAGUUUUUCACUUUAAUACGACAUUUAAAAACAAAUAUUCAGUAGAGUCUAAACAUCGUCUGGUCAUAAAAGAUGUUACUGUAAAUGAGUUAGGAGUUUAUUACUGUAUGAAGACGGGCAUGUCUCCAAAACUCAGUACCAUCACAAGACUGCACAUCAUCGAGCCGACUCAACAAACUGAUUUAUCAAAGUGUGCAAAUCAGACUGCGGUGAACGAUAUUCAGAAGAAAGAGACACAAUGGCACAUUAUCAUCAUUAUAUCUGGAUUACUGAAGGGUCUUCUGAUCAUUGCUAUGGUUAUUGGAGGUGUUUGUUUUUCUGGAGAAUAACACCGCCGUGAGCUUUUCCACAGUCAAGUCAAACAAAUCUUACUUUUCUACAAGAGUAAAUUCAUCUCAUUUUAUUUCUAUCAUAAACCUGUAACAUUGAUCAGACAUUACUACUUAAAAAUGUAGAUCCCUAUAUGUGAUUAAAUGUUUAAACAUUAUGCUCACAUUUGAUAAGCAUUUUAUUUGCUUGUUUGUAUCUCAGGUUACUCAGACCUUUAUGUGUAACAUAUUUUAUUUUGAUACUUCAGCUUAAAAUUUUUUUUAAAAUACUUUUAGAUGUACAAAUAAGAUGUAGUACAAUAUCUGAUAUAGAUAAGGCAUAUACAAUUUAUUAAUGUGUGGCUAUUCUUUGCUGAAUAUUUUUAAUACUGUUGUUA